GCCUCAGGGCAUUGAGCACAGACUGAAUGACUCAGUGACGCUUGGAUCAGGUCAGAUCAAAUUCUCAAGCAAACAGAUGGCUGGGGAUAUUCAGUAACAACGGUGAGGAGAGAGAGGAACAAUUCACAUUUCAAGUGACCCUUCCUCAAAACGGUCUGUUCUGAAGGAGCUUUCCCGCAGAAAUCACUGGAUUGAAAGCUUCUGGCAACAAAUGGCCACAAACCGAUCAAAGGUGAAAGUGACGGUGAACCAGACAGAGCAGUCAGUGGCUGCAUAAAGCAGGACGGCGUGGAUAUUACACACGGGGACGGAGUCCCUCAGGAAAUAAAACUGUUCCUUAUAAACAAUGGGAAUGUGUCUCAGGAUCAGGUCGAGGAUAAUGACCAGGAGAUCUGCCGCUGCCAUGGCCCCCAGGAUUGGCUGGCCAACAGAAGACAGCAAGUGGUAGCGGAAGGAAAAUAUUCUACCUGGAAGUCUGUGGGACAUAUAAACAUAUCUUCAAAUCAAUCAAGACCAUUUUCUGCUCAGGGUAUGGCUCUGUGUAUGGCAGCAGCAAUGAUGCACCGACAUGGAAUAGGGAAUGUGAUGGAGACAUCGUUUGGACAAUGUACAAGGAGACCUCACAUGGUCCAGUUUGGGAGAGAAUGACAUUAUUGUGUGAUCCAACUCAGAGAGGGAGAAAGUGUCAUCUGCCCGGGAAGAAGCGGCCUAUUGCACUCUCUCUCCUUCAUUACUCCCCAUCACAGUAACGUGUAUGAGCUAAAACAAAACUCUACUGUUAUUGUUACCAUUCUUAUUUUUAUAGAAUCCCAGCAGUGUGGAAACAAGCCCUUCGGCCCAACAAGUACAUACCAACUUUCCAAAGAGUAACCUUGCCAUGCCCUCACAGUUACCACUGACUAAUGCACCUAAAGUAGAAAUCGCGGAACACGAUGGACUAUUUGACCAAUUCACUUGAAUUAUACAGCUUUGGGCUGUGGGAGGAAACGGGAGCACCCAUCAGAAGCUCACACAGACACGGAGAGAAGAUGCAAACUCCACGCAGAUAGUCGCCCGAGGCUGGAAUUGAACUCACGUCUCCCUGAUGCUGUGAUGGAACAGUGCGAACUACUGAGCCACUGUGCUAACCUGGAACCUCCUGCCAGCCUAAAGCAAAGGGAAUUCAGCCAAAUCCAACUCUCCCAGGAUAAAAUUCCCAUUGCUAGCAGCUAUGUGAGUGGAAUACCUUCAGAAGCAGAAUAACAUUUUGGAGAAUCUCACAAUUUUUCCUUUUGUCAUGAGUUACACUAAUAUUUGGAUAAGGUUCUUUCAACGUGAAAUUGCACAGAUUUGUGUGUGUGUGUGUGUGUGUGUGUGUGUGUCAGUGUUUUUAGAAUGGGAAAUAUCGAGUCUUUAUUUGCAAUACGCAAACAGUUUGCCAUCCAUCUUUCCAUCAUAGUUGGAGUAACAUUGAUCUGGAUCGGAAACGUGUUGUUUUAGCAGAUUACAGAAACUAGCCUGACUUGUUCCUAAAACUGACCCUGACCCAGUCUGAGACCGAUAUCAUCGGCCAUAUCACCGACCUGGUUACAUUUAACAUUUGUUGUGAGCAGUGGAGGAGUGGGACAAGAAAAGGAGACAGUGACCCAAAAAGCCGGGGAACUAUAGACCGGUGAGCCUGAUGUCAGUGGUGGGUAAGUUGUUGGAGGGGAUUCUGAGGGAUAGCAUUUACAUACAUUUGGGAAGGUAAGGGCUGAUUGGGGUAGACAACGUGGCUUCCUGCAUGGGAAAUCAUGUCUCAUUAAUUUGGUUGCGUUUUAUGAAGAGGUGACAAAGAAGAUUGAUGAAGGCAGUUGGGUAGACAUUGUCUAUGUGGACCUCAGCAAGGUGUUCAUAACAUUCCGAUUGGUAGGCAGAUUAGUAAGGUUCGGUCACAUGGGAUACAGAAGAAGCUCAUCACAAUUGGCUUGAAGGAAGAGGGAUAUUUUUCAGACUGGAGGCUUGUGAGCAGAAAUUAUACACUUAAUGGUAAGGGCCUGGGGAGUGUUGUGAAACAAAUGGACAUAAGGCUGCAGGUACAUUGUUCCUUGAAAGUGAAGUUGAAUGCAGACAGUGCGGUACUGAACACAUUUAACACAUUUGCCUUAAUCAGUCAGAGCAUUGUGUAUAGGAGUUGUGGUGGAGGGAAAUGGGGUUAGCGUGGAUGGACAUUUACAAGGUGGAGUCGAACCCUUCUGUUAAUUAAAACCAAACACCCAGAAAAGCUCACCUCACCUCGUAAUCUGUUAAAAUAUGAGCGACACAGAUCUCCCACAUUCCACUAUUUAAACAAAGAUUAACAAGUUUAUUUCUUAACUUUAUUAGUGAAAACUAAACAACAGCUAUUCACAAAUACAAGCCCCUCUUUUCUUAGCUACUUACUAUCUGACUCCAACUCUGUAAAAAGUAUGUUGUUCCAACAACCCACACAUUAAACAUUACAAUCUCAAGACCAUACAGUCUCUAUCUUCCCCGCUGUAUUAACUCUUUCAGCUGCUGAUCUCCUUGGUUCAUUUUUUUUAUUGCAAAGAGGUUUGCAUGAACAUGUGUCUUUGAUAGAGUGUGUUUGAGAUGGUCAGUUAGCACUCCUGCUCUACAGCAGUUGCUCUACUGUUGGAUGGCAGUAGCUCUCUCUAGUGUUCAAAAUGCUGGGUUUAUAUACUCCCCAUGAUAUAAUAAUUCUCAUAAUUUGAUUGCUUACCAGGCGUCCAAACAAUAAUAUUCAAAUUCUGUUGGCUUCUGGUAUCCUGAGUGUUAUUUAAACUCUUUGGUUACAUUUGUAUGGCUGUCAAAACAGCAACCAAAACUCAGGAAUCCAUUUCUCAGCUAAUGGUGACAUGUGGAACAGUGUGACCUUCAGCUGGCAUCUGUGGCUUUAAUUUCUAUUCAGCAAAACCCGAUCUGUUUUAAAGUGUCCAUAUAUGUUUUUGUCUUCAUAACAUCUCCCCGCUUCAGAAAAUAAAAUGAACUAGCUGAAUGAAAA